AAAGGAAUAGACGGGGGCCCGCACAAGCAGCGGAGCGUGUGGUUUAAUUCGAUGAUACGCGAAGAACCUCACCCAGGUUUGACAUGCAUGUGGUACCGAUCCGAAAGGUGAAGGACCCCUCGGGGAGCAUGCACAGGUGUUGCACGGCCGUCGUCAGCUCGUGCCGUGAGGUGUUGGGUUAAGUCCCGCAACGAGCGCAACCCCUAUCGCCAGUUGUAUUUUUCUGGCGAGACUGCCGAGAAAUCCUCGGAGGAAGGAGGGGACGAUGUCAGGUCAGCGUGGCCCUUACGCCUGGGGCUACACACACGCUACAAUGGGUGGUACAACGGGUCGCCAAGCCGCGAGGCGGAGCUAAUCCCAUCAAAGCCAUCCUCAGUUCGGAUUGCAGGCUGAAACCCGCCUGCAUGAAGCCGGAGUUGCUAGUAACCGCAGGUCAGCAUUACUGCGGUGAAUACGUUCCCGGGCCUUGUACACACCGCCCGU
rnacentral:rRNA from 1 species